rnacentral:rRNA from 1 species
CCUACGGGAUGCAGCAGUGGGGAAUAUUGCACAAUGGGCGCAAGCCUGAUGCAGCCAUGCCGCGUGUAUGAAAAUGGCCUUCGGGUUGUAAAGUACUUUCAGCGGGGAGGAAGGUGUUGAGGUUAAUAACCUCAGCAAUUGACGUUACCCGCAGAAGAGGCACCGGCUAACUCCGUGCCAGCAGCCGCGGUAAUACGGAGGGUGCAAGCGUUAAUCGGAAUUACUGGGCGUAAAGCGCACGCAGGCGGUCUGUCAAGUCGGAUGUGAAAUCCCCGGGCUCAACCUGGGAACUGCAUUCGAAACUGGCAGGCUAGAGUUUUGUAGAGGGGGGUAGAAUUCUAGGUGUAGCGGUGAAAUGCGUAGAGAUCUGGAGGAAUACCGGUGGCGAAGGCGGCCCCCUGGACAAAGACUGACGCUCAGGUGCGAAAGCGUGGGGAGCAAACAGGAUUAGAUACCCGGGUAGUC